rfam:Erinaceus europaeus unplaced genomic scaffold scaffold00001, whole genome shotgun sequence
GUGCUCGUUUUGGCAGCACAUGUACAAAAAUUGGGACGAUACAGAGAAAAUUAGCAAGGCCCCUGUUCAAGGAGAACACAGAAAUUCAUGAAGUGGUCCAUAUUUUU